UGAGUGAGCAAUACGAGAAGAAAGAAGACGGUGUGAAAAAGUGCACGCGAAUUUUUUCAAGUAAAAAAUUAGCAGGAAGAAUAGAUAAAUUAUUAUUUUUUCAUUGAGAAAUUUAUAUUGCAUGCAGAAACAAAUUAAAUAUAAUAAUGUUUCUAUUUAUUUGAGUGAAAUUAUGUAAAUAAGUAAAAAUAUUAAAAAAAUAUAUGUGGUGUUUGUGUAGUUGGAAAUAGAAAAAAGCUGUUGUUUUACUGGUGCUGUUGCUGCGCUGCUGCUGCGAAAUUGUCUGUUAUAAAAAAUUGUCCGUUUUUCUAUAAACAGAUUAUUUAUUGAUUCAUUAUGAUGGAACUGGAACCACGAGUUGCCUUGUUGCAAGACUUACGUUUACAAACUUUUGAUUCAAUACGCUUUGCUUCGUAUCGUACUGCUUCCAAAUUGCGUUAUAUUCAAAAGUCGACAAAUUUGCAUUUAGUUGAUAUAUGGAAUGUUAUUGAAGCUUUUCGUGAAAAUGGUUUAAAUACUUUGGAACCCCAGAGUGAUGUGAGUGUGGCCCGUUUAGAGACGCUGGUUUCAUCGCUGUAUCAUAAUCUGAACAAACGUUUACCGACUGCACAGCAGGUCCCGGUUGAUUCAAAGGCAGGACUAUUGCUUAAUUGGUUGCUAGCAGCAUAUACCAGUGACAAUUCUGGCAAAAUACGGGUGUUUUCUAUAAAAGUGGCUUUGGCUACGAUGUGUUCCGGCAAAUUGGUAGAUAAAUUAAGAUAUAUUUUUUCUCAGAUCUCGGAUGGUGCAGGUCAAUUGGUUAGCUGGAAAUUGGGUGAAUUUUUAAGAGAGGUGCUUGCUUUGCCUGCUGCUGUGUACGAAUCGCCUACUUUUCACUAUAAAGAGGGAUUGGAGGAACAGAUAUUCUCGUCAGAAAAUAAAGUUACUGUUAAUGAUUUCAUGGCAACACUUAUGUCUGAACCUGGCCCUUCGUGUCUCGUAUGGUUACCUUUGCUGCAUCGGUUGGCUACAGUUGAAACGAUUGUGCAUCCGACAAUCUGCUCUGUCUGUCACAAGGAAAACUUCACUGGCUUUCGUUACCGUUGUCAGCGGUGUCACGCCUACCAACUGUGCCAGGAAUGCUUUUGGCAUGGCAAGACAUCACUGAACCAUCAAAACGAUCACGAAGUCAAGGAAUAUUCAAGUUACAAAUCGCCCAGUAAACAGAUUGGUCAUUCGUUGCGCAAAAGUUUCCGAUGUGUGCCAGAGAAGACGACUCAAGUGUUGCCACGAUUUCCUGAACAGCCGGAGAAGACACUGAAUUUGUCACAUAUUGUGCCACCCUCACCACUGCCUUCGCAUAAUGGUUUCACUGAUCCGACAAUGCUUCAUGGCUUAGGUGGUGCUAUACCAGGAGGUGGGGGCGGAGGUCUACCCAGCGGUCUUAUGUUUGAUCGUUCUAGCACCAUCGAUUCACGAGCCACUGGACGAAGUAUUGACAGUGCGAAUGGUGUUUCAUCAUCGCGGGUGGCGGCUGCAUCAGCAAAUGAUGAAGAACAUCGUUUAAUAGCUCGAUAUGCAGCCCGACUUGCCCAGGAAAAUCGUGCACCAAGUAGCAGCAGUGCAGCCAAUGCCGACAAUCAGCAUCCAAUAGCUUCGGACAACUCACGUGCUCAACGGGAGCUUAUAACACAACUAGAAUCAAAAAAUAAAGAAAUUAUGCGUGAAAUCGCGAGGUUAAGGCGACAACAAGAAGCCGAACAAAUGGCACCUGAAAAUCCUGCUCUAAUUAGUGAGUUACGCGCUUUGCGUCAACGCAAAGGCGAACUCGAGGGCCACCUGGGAGCUUUGCAAGACUCACGACGGCAACUAAUGGAACAACUGGAGGGUCUAAUGCGAAUGUUAAAGAGUCAACAAACUUCUUCGCCCAGAUCCACACCAAAUUCUAGCCCUCGUUCUGGUAAAUCACCUCCCAUGCCUGGAGGCAGUCAUUCGGUUGUAGGCAGUGGUGGUAGCGGUGGUAUAAACACCCUGGGAACAUCUCCAAUUGGUUCAAUGCAUACCCAAUCGUCUGCCCACUCACUAAUGGGCACUGGGAAUGUGUUGCGCGUUCAACAGGCAGCCUCGUUAAAUCAAGGUUCGUUUAAUCCAAAUCAAAUGGAUCAUGUUAGUCCACAAAUGAGUGGCGAUAUGAGAGGAGGUUUUAGCACUAAUGGGAGUGGUAUUAAUCCAGAUGAAGGGUUUCAAAAUGCAAAUUAUGAGUUUUAUGAAGAAAUUUUUGAUUAUGAUCUCAAUCCAUUAUCGACACUUCUUAAUGACUCAAAUACAGACAUACGUCAUAUAGAAGGUGGUGAAUCAGAGGACGAAGAUGAAGAGUAUGAUAAUUUCGACAUGGAUUACAGCUUUGGUCGUCUAAAUCUUGGUGAUAGUGGCAUUUUGAGCCUACAACAACAAUAUGAAACAUAUUUAAACUCUCAACAUGACAAAUGCGACGACCCCGAGGAAAUAAUUGAGUUUCAUCUUGUGAAUGAUACCGACAUUGAGUUAGAUUCCGAUCUUGAUAUUGCCGAAGAACAGGCUAACAUAAAUCGUAUAAUGGGAUAUAAAAACUAUCCAGAAAUCCUAAUCGAUGAUCCGGAUGCUGGUUUUCCCCUACUGCAUGAAAUCGGUGAGACAAUCGAUGAAUUGCAGUUAAUUAUGCACGCCCAUAUUAUGAAAUAUAGUUUGAGUUUAUAAAAAAAAUAUUCAAUGUUAAUACAUAAAUAUUGUCGUUGUUUUUACUGUUACUGUUCUGUUACUGUUACUCUUACAAUUGCUCUAUUUAAAACAAAUCCCAAGAUUUUGAUGACCCUCAAUCAAUCGAUUGGACGGAUAAGACUAAUUCAAGCAGCAGCCAAUGGCAGGAACAAUUCGCCCAGUGGUCUUUACAUACUCAAAAGAACUAAUUCCAUGUUUAUUGUUAUUUAAAAA
rnacentral:misc_RNA from 1 species